AACAGGAUUAGAUACCCUGGUAGUCCACGCCCUAAACGAUGUCAACUGGUUGUUGGGUCUUAACUGACUCAGUAACGAAGCUAACGCGUGAAGUUGACCGCCUGGGGAGUACGGCCGCAAGGUUGAAACUCAAAUGAAUUGACGGGGACCCGCACAAGCGGUGGAUGAUGUGGUUUAAUUCGAUGCAACGCGAAAAACCUUACCCACCUUUGACAUGUACGGAAUCCUUUAAAAAUAGAGGAGUGCUCGAAAGAGAGCCGUAACACAGGUGCUGCAUGGCUGUCGUCAGCUCGUGUCGUGAGAUGUUGGGUUAAGUCCCGCAACGAGCGCAACCCUUGUCAUUAGUUGCUACAUUCAGUUGGGCACUCUAAUGAGACUGCCGGUGACAAACCGGAGGAAGGUGGGGAUGACGUCAAGUCCUCAUGGCCCUUAUAGGUGGGGCUACACACGUCAUACAAUGGCUGGUACAAAGGGUUGCCAACCCGCGAGGGGGAGCCAAUCCCAUAAAGCCAGUCGUAGUCCGGAUCGCAGUCUGCAACUCGACUGCGUGAAGUCGGAAUCGCUAGUAAUCGUGGAUCAGAAUGUCACGGUGAAUACGUUCCCGGGUCUUGUACACACCGCCCGUCACACCAUGGGAGCGGGUUCUGCCAGAAGUAGUUAGCCUAACCGCAAGGAGGGCGAUUACCACGGCAGGGUUCGUGACUGGGGUGAAGUCGUAACAAGGUAGCCGUA
rnacentral:rRNA from 1 species